rnacentral:rRNA from 1 species
UGGGGAAUAUUGGACAAUGGGCGAAAGCCUGAUCCAGCCAUGCCGCGUGUGUGAAGAAGGUCUUCGGAUUGUAAAGCACUUUAAGUUGGGAGGAAGGGCAUUAACCUAAUACGUUAGUGUUUUGACGUUACCGACAGAAUAAGCACCGGCUAACUCUGUGCCAGCAGCCGCGGGAAAACAGAGGGUGCAAGCGUUAAUCGGAAUGACUGGGCGUAAAGCGCGCGUAGGUGGUUUGUUAAGUUGGAUGUGAAAUCCCCGGGCUCAACCUGGGAACUGCAUUCAAAACUGACUGACUAGAGUAUGGUAGAGGGUGGUGGAAUUUCCUGUGUAGCGGUGAAAUGCGUAGAUAUAGGAAGGAACACCAGUGGCGAAGGCGACCACCUGGACUAAUACUGACACUGAGGUGCGAAAGCGUGGGGAGCAAACA